rnacentral:rRNA from 1 species
AGGACGAACGCUGGCGGCGUGCUUAACACAUGCAAGUCGAGCGACGCUCCUCCUUCGGGAGGAUGACGGAGCGGCGAACGGGUGAGUAACACGUGGGCAACCUGCCCCUAGCUCUGGGAUAACCCCGAGAAAUCGGGACUAAUACCGGAUAUGAAGUCGGACGGCAUCGUCUGACUUGGAAAGUUUUUCGGCUAGGGAUGGGCCCGCGGCCUAUCAGCUUGUUGGUGGGGUAAUGGCCUACCAAGGCGACGACGGGUA